GAAAUCCAGCACAAUGACAAUGGAUAAGGCACAUUGCUGAAGCCACAUGUGGAUGGAAGGGGAAAGGGUCAGAGCAUGCGCCUGAGAUCAAACAACGUCUGCACAUCCAUUAAUGAUCAUUGGAAAUGGUGACCAAUGAUUAAAGGAUAACAUUCCCGUUUUAAAAGGAUAAACAAAAAAACGGAUUAAAUUAAACCAUGAACGCGUCUCUCUCUCACUUCAUCUCCCGUUUCCAUCAAACCUUACUCUCCGCCGUACCAGAAUUCAACGCUGGCGGUGGCGGAGACUUAAAACUCUCCAAACUUACAUCACUCAAACUGUCUCCCUCCCCUCAUCCCAAAUCUACCUUCCGUUUUCCAUAAUUCCCCCUUUAACUCCUUAGUCACACUAAUCUAUCCAAGAACCCUAGUAGACUAAAACCUAAAUUAAAUCCCUAAACAAAGGAAUCAAAACCUAUAGACUUAGGGCUUUGAUUCUUUAUCUCAAAAAUCACAUAGCGGUAACAAGAUAUGGAGGUAAAUAGAGGUAAAAAUGAACCUACCUUUGGAGGAUGACGAAUUCCGGUGUUUCUUACAGCGGGGAUGAUGAAUGAUGAUCAAAGAUGCUCGGUCAGAGAGGAAGGUGGAGAAUUGGAGAGGAUGAUGAACUCUGAGAUGUGAAUUUUCGGUUUAAGGUUCCUUGGGAUUUUUUCAGAUUGAGAAUGAGUGAUGUUUUCAGUUUUAGUUUUAUGAGCAAAAAUGAUGAGAGAGCCCCUGAUGAAUGCGAGGUUCUCAAUAUAUAGGUGUUGAUGAUUCAACUGAUUCUAUUAUCCAAUUAGUUUGGGGUUUGUUAUUUAUGUUAUGCUCUGAAUCAGUAGUUACAAAAUCAGUUGGAAUUAGUUAUCAGUUAAGAGGGAAGUUAGUUUAGUUAUGGAAGUGAAUGAUGUUAUGUUUGUUUGAAUUGUUGUGAGAAAUUAUUCUAUUAGUUAUGAAUGAUUCAGUUAUAUGUCAGUUGGAAUUGUUAGAAAAUAUGCGAGUUGAACUGAAUUUUAAAACCUAUGUUAUGUGAAUGCAGGUUGAAUUGGUUUUGCAGAUGAAUGAAAAUAUUAAUAAGCUGCUGAGUUAUGGAAUUUUGUUACGGGUAUAAUGAAUUUUCAGGGGCAAUGUUAUGAAAAUGCAGGAGGGUUAUAUGGUAAUGUUAUGCACUUCAAGUUUUUGUUUGGAAUGGUUUGCCUGCGUGGGAACUGAUUUAUGACCUGCUAUGAACCUGGUGUUGCAGUAGUGGUUUGUGAAGGUUAUGUCUCGAAUGUUUGAUCAAGGUUGGGUGGUUUGUAUCUAACUUGGAUUAGGAAAUGCUUGGAUGAUUUGUAACUGACCUUAGGUCUAUGUUCGUCAACCAAGCAUGCCAGGAAGUGUACAAUGGUUGGAGAAAAGCUCAUGGCAUCAAAGUUAUAGUUUGAAUAUCCAUCAUGGAAUGGACAAUCAAAGAUCAAAAGUCAGAUACUGAAGGUUAGAUUAGAAAUAGGAUGGGGAUUUAGGGAUGAAAAAGUUUGGGUUGACUUUGGUCAAAAUUGACCAAAAAGUCAACUGUUGACCAAAGUCAACAUUUGGUCAACAUACUAACUUUUUUUUCUUUUUUCCCAUGUAAUGAACCUUUUAUGGAUUGUAAUGAAUGGCAAUGAAUAUUCUUGGAUGAAAAUGGAUUGUUUUUAAAUUGAUCUUAAACAUGAACAUGAUACUUGAAUGA